GGUCCCUUUACCUCUUUAAGCCUUAGUCUUAGCUGGAAGGGAGAUUGUAACCUCUGCCUGUCCCUCCUUGGUUAAGGGUAUCCCUUUGAAAUGAUCCAUGAGGAGUUGCCCAGACAUGGGCUAGGGCCAUAGAACUCCUCCAGCAAGGACCCCUCGAAGGGCACCUGUUCCAGUUAUUUUAUUACAAAGGGAGCGGCUAGGUCAUGGAGUCUUGGCACAAAACAACCACUAUAUUAGACUUUAAUAUGUUGGACUUUUUGAAGGGGAAAGAGGAUUUCAAAUAAAAUCUCAGACUGAAAUGUGGAGAACUGAACUCAAGAUUGGAAAGGUGGGAAAUGGAGAGAAACCAAAUUUGACAGAUUUGCUAAUCCCUACUCUGAUGCAGAGAAAAACUUGACUCAGCUUGGUGAGUCUGUAUAUCUUGGCCUGCUGGCAUGGGUGCAACUUGUUGCUCCAUCUCUGGCAGCAAAAUGCCUCGAGGCAGCCCUGAUCCAACAGCAAUCAUAUAAUCUAUCUAAAUGUAAUAAAUGGGGGCAAGCUUCUCUAGUAAGAAUGUCCACCUUUUUCUUAAAUAUUGGCAAAUGGGUGAAGUAGCCAAGAUUGUGGAGGUCAUCAAAUUAUGUAUCACAAUGAAAGCUAAGCAGACUGUUUUAAAUGCUCCAAAAGGAUCUCUGUAAACUGGCUGAAUAGGCGACAAGAAAACAGCAGAUAAGGUCUGCUGUAAUUGUAAAGCAAUAGAUAAUGGGAGAAAACAGCAAAUAAGAACGGCCUCAACUUCACAAAGGCGGUGAUGAGGUCUGAACUGGUUUGCAGGGGGGCAGUUCACUGAAAACAUCAGCCGAGUGUUCAUAUGAACCAUGUUUAUUUUGACUGCAGGUGUACUUUUCACUUAAUCUUCCUUUUUAUUUACUUGUAAUGAUGGUGUGGUUGGGUAAUAAUUUAACUGGCUUAACAAUAAAUCUUUGACUGACUGACCACAGGGCCAGACUACAUGGGAAGCUUAAAGAUGCAGUGAGGAGCAGGUUUCAUGGGGACCGCAGAAUGAGACACACACAGAGGGGAGUGGCGUUCUUCCUUUCCUCCCCAGUCACAAUCACAGCCAGAAUCAAGUUUCUUAAGGACAAAUGCUAGUGUCCAUAGAUACCAACUCUAUGGAGCUGGACAGCUCAGGGGCCCCCUCCCAAAGUAUGUGGGGACAGGGGCUGACCCCCCCCCCAAUCUUGAGGAGUAUUCCCUGUUGUAUGUUUCAAGACAAUGCCUUCAGCUCUUCCGGAUGGGUGAUUUAGGAAAAUAUCUUAUUUUAGUUGGUGAAGGUCCUGUGAUUUACAGAUCACUGCUGGGUGCCUCUGACACAAGUGCCCCUACUUGACCCUGCUUAUGAGAACUGACAAGAUCACAGCUCUGAGGUGGUUUUGUUUCUGGAAAAUGCAGCCCUGCAAAAUGCCACUAUUCUGGUCCUGUGUGACAAAGCCACUCAGCACAUCAAGAGGGGGACUGCUGCCCCUUGUGGAGCAUGCCGGGUAUUUGUCAUUUUCUCCUAAUCAAAACAACAAGGCUUUAAAAAGCAAGACGUGUUUUUUUUUAACUCAACACACUAGUGUCCAGCAAGGCUCGGAUUAUGUCUUUAUUUCUCCCUGAAAUAAAUACCUAUUUUGGUCUUCUUUUUUGUAAUAGUAUUUUAUUAUUUUUGCCGUAUAGAAAGUUGUUUACUCAACAAUUGUAUUCCAAUUCAACAACAACUAGUGACUUCCUGCUCAGCAAACAUCGAUGUUCAUAAAUCAAAUUACAUACAA